rnacentral:SRP_RNA from 1 species
GGUCGGGCCCGGCGGGCGGGUCGGCCAUGAAUCUGGUCAGGGCUUGAUCGCAGCAGCCAUAAGUGUUUCGAUCCGAGCCGUCGGUCGCCUGACCGUC